AUCGCUUCUUGGCCUUUUGGCUAAGAUCAAGUAUAGUAUCCUUUCUUAUCAGUUUAAUAUCUGAUACGCCCUCUAUCUGAGGACAAUAUAUUAAAUGGAUUUUUAGAACUCGGAGUUGGAAUAGGAGCUUGCUCCAUCCACUACACGCAUCAACCUGGUAUUGCAGUACCUCUAGGAAUGGUGCACCCCCU
ensembl:snRNA U2 U2 spliceosomal RNA